UACCAGCACCCCGAGUGGUCGGGACGUUUAUUGGGCCUAAAGCAUCCGUAGCCGGUUCUACAAGUCUUCCGUUAAAUCCACCUGCUUAACAGAUGGGCUGCGGAAGAUACUAUGGAGCUAGGAGGCGGGAGAGGCAAGCGGUACUCGAUGGGUAGGGGUAAAAUCCGUUGAUCCAUUGAAGACCACCAGUGGCGAAGGCGGCUUGCCAGAACGCGCUCGACGGUGGAGGAUGAAGCUGGGGGAGCAAACCGG
rnacentral:rRNA from 1 species